rnacentral:tRNA from 1 species
GGUGCGGCAGUCAAAGUAAUGACGCUCGUUUUGCACACGGGAAGUGAAAUCGAAUUUUUCUCGCGCCA